rnacentral:rRNA from 1 species
GACGGAGGAUGCAAGCGUUAUCCGGAAUGAUUGGGCGUAAAGCGUCCGCAGGUGGCAGUUCAAGUCUGCUGUCAAAGACCGGGGCUUAACUUCGGAAAGGCAGUGGAAACUGAACAGCUAGAGUAUGGUAGGGGCAGAGGGAAUUCCUGGUGUAGAGGUGAAAUUCGUAGAUAUCGGGAGGAACACCGGUGGCGAAGGCGGCGACCUGGGUCGAGACUGACGCUGAGGCGCGAAAGCGUGGGGAGCAAACAGG